UACAGAGGGGCAAGCGUUGUUCGGAAUUACUGGGCGUAAAGGGCGCGUAGGCGGCCAGCACAAGUCAGUUGUGAAAUCUCCGAGCUUAACUCGGAACGGUCAACUGAUACUGUGCGGCUAGAGUGCGGAAGGGGCAACUGGAAUUCCCGGUGUAGUGGUGAAAUGCGUAGAUAUCGGGAGGAACACCAGUGGCGGAAGCGGCUACCUGGCCACUCUUGACGCUGAGGCGCGAAAGCUAGGGGGCAA
rnacentral:rRNA from 1 species